rnacentral:misc_RNA from 1 species
GAUGAAGAACGUAGCGAAAUGCGAUAAGUAAUGCGAAUUCCAGAAUUCAGUGAGUCAUCGAAUCUUUGAACGCACAUUGCGCCCUGUGGUAUUCCGCAGGGCAUGCCUGUUCGAGCGUCAUUUCAACCCUCAAGCCCCGCUUGGUGUUGGGCCCCGCCCGCUGUGGCCGGCCCUAAAGACAGUGGCGGCGCCGCCUGGCCCUCAGCGUAGUACAUCUCUCGCUCCAGGGUCCGGUGGCCGCCUGCCAGAACCCCCCAACUCUGUGGUUGACCUCGGAUCAGGUAGGGAUACCCGCUGAACUUAAGCAUAUCAAUAAGCGGAGGA